GAUCCUGGCUCAGGAUGAACGCUAGUUACAGGCUUAACACAUGCAAGUCGAGGGGAAACGAUAUUGGAAGCUUGCUUCCGAUAGGCGUCGACCGGCGCACGGGUGAGUAACGCGUAUCCAACCUGCCCACCACUUGGGGAUAACCGUUGCGAAAGUAAGACUAAUACCCAAUGAUAUCUCUAGAAGACAUCUGAAAGAGAUUAAAGAUUUAUCGGUGAUGGAUGGGGAUGCGUCUGAUUAG
rnacentral:rRNA from 1 species